rnacentral:rRNA from 1 species
CAGCCGCCGCGGGAAUACGUAGGGUGCAAGCGUUAAUCGGAAUUACUGGGCGUAAAGCGUGCGCAGGCGGUUCUAUAAGACAGAUGUGAAAUCCCCGGGCUCAACCUGGGAACUGCAUUUGUGACUGUAGAGCUGGAGUGCGGCAGAGGGGGAUGGAAUUCCGCGUGUAGCAGUGAAAUGCGUAGAUAUGCGGAGGAACACCGAUGGCGAAGGCAAUCCCCUGGGCCUGCACUGACGCUCAUGCACGAAAGCGUGGGGAGCAAACAGGAUUAGAUACCCCAGUAGUCCCUGUCUCUUAUAA